AUAAAUAAAAGGAUCACACUGACUGUAAGUGAACCGAGUCCACAGAUGUGAGCUGCAAUUCUAGUCACUGUAUGUCCAAGCUGCGAUGUGUCAACCUGACUUCUCUGUUGUUGUCGACCUUGAUCACCUGCCUGAGCCAGUGUUGGUCAAGCCACGCGUUUUCUCUCCCUUUCCAGGCUGUGCAGCCCCCACACGCUAAAGGCAUGGGGAGCUAGGCUCCGCAUCCCCACGUAUGAAGUAUCUAGAAUGGGGUCAAGGCCAUGCAAACAGCAAGAAGGGAGAAGGAAGCGGGUGAGAAGGAGGAGAAGGGAGGUCGGCUCGGCUGGCACAGCAUUCACGCGUUCGCGCGGUUCCAGGACGACAUCCCAAGAGAUUUCAGCCGGAAAACUGGCUACCUUCUCUGUUCAGGUCGCAACAUUGACAUCAAGGACAUUUCUCGUAGAAUAUGCGGGAGAUGGAAGAAAAGACGUUGCAAUAAUGGAGACAGAGGCGUGAGAGACGGAGAGAAAGCCAGGUCCUGGUAUGCCCGCUGGGUGCACAUACACGAUCCUCACAGCGACCCCCGACAAGGUCCGGCCAGCACCUUGCCCCCUGCUUCUCAGCCCUGGCCUGAAGGGUUCCCUCCAACCCCAUCAGGACCUCGGGGGCUUGGGCCAGGGCAGAGUGAUUUUAAAACAUCCCCACGUGAUGCUGAUAGGCGGUCAAAGCCUCAGCCCCCGGGGCAGUGGAAAGACGCCCCGCCCCGCCCCCAUCCCCAGGGACCCCGUCCCCAGCCGACCUCAGGCUCUCAGGCUCCAGCUGCUCUUUCUUCUUUGGGGGCGUUGCACUCACCUGACCCGUGGUCACCCUUCUUCUCUGUGACCUCUGACUCCUGUCACUGAAGAAGAACCUGCACGCUCCUUGUCCACAUGCACCUGCUGUUCAGUGUCCCUAGAUGCCCCCCCCAGACCCCUUGUAGAACUCACACCUCCCUCCAUGGCCCUGGCCCAGAGUGUCCCCCGCUCAGAGACUCACUACCCACCCCCCUCCAUGAUGCCAUGAAGCAAAUCUCAAACUCCUGACCAUGGCAUCCUGACAUGUUUGGGUAGAUCAUUGAUAUUUAACCAGACAAAUACAAAAUGUAACUAAAAUGAGAGCCAGCAAGCUUUUUUUUUUUUUUAACUUGGCACUCUUUGUUUAUGGUGGA